CGACAACAUGGAUGAAUCUGGAGGACAUUAUGCUGAGUGAGCUCUAGGAUGGCACAUGAGUCCAUGCUCCCACGUGUGCUCCAUGGAAUGUCGAAGGACUGUGAGAGACACUGAUGUUACUGAGAACAAAGUCUGUGAGAUCUUGGAGCCAAAUAAUGACCAGUUCCCGAAGGGGAGAUGAGCGUGUACAUGGCAGCUCCCAAAGAUUUAACGGCAAUUCACGAUAUUUUUCACUCGGAUUGUACCCCAGGAGGAAUGUGAGGAGAAAGUGUUCAGAUAGCCAAGUUACAAGUGUGCACGGAAGGAGCCGAGGCCCUUAUCACAGAUGUGGUCAUCCGAUUCAGCUUUCACAGCGGCCUCAGUGAGGUCAGAGUCCUGUCCAGUUUACAUACAAACGGAGGCCGAGGUGCAGUGACCCGAGGUCGUCAGCUGGUGCAGCUGGAGCUGGAACUCGUGACUCCUGCUUCUAAAGCCAGUCCUCCUUCCACCCCAGAGCAGCUGCUCUGAACACGAGUCCUGGGUGGUGUCAGUUAAGACUGGUGUUGACGCGCUUGAGAAUCACCCCUGACGGCUUCUGAGGAAGGUUAUGACUAAGAUUGCAGACUAGAAGCACUUCAUAAAAACACAUUCCUCCGCCUCCCCCUGAUCCUAGAAUCUGUUUUGAAGCCUGUGUUUUCUGUGAUCUAGGCUUCAUUAUCCUAGUAAUGAGGGAUGAUGGGGGAACAGUUGAUAAACAAACCCAUGAAUCAC